GACGAACGCUGGCGGCGUGCUUAACACAUGCAAGUCGAACGGAAAGGCCCUGCUUUUGUGGGGUGCUCGAGUGGCGAACGGGUGAGUAACACGUGAGUAACCUGCCCUUGACUUUGGGAUAACUUCAGGAAACUGGGGCUAAUACCGGAUAGGAGCUCCUGCUGCAUGGUGGGGGUUGGAAAGUUUCGGCGGUUGGGGAUGGACUCGCGGCUUAUCAGCUUGUUGGUGGGGUAGUGGCUUACCAAGGCUUUGACGGGUAGCCGGCCUGAGAGGGUGACCGGCCACAGUGGGACUGAGAUACGGCCCAGACUCCUACGGGAGGCAGCAGUGGGGAAUAUUGCACAAUGGGCGGAAGCCUGAUGCAGCAACGCCGCGUGCGGGAUGACGGCCUUCGGGUUGUAAACCGCUGUCGCCUGUGACGAAGCGUGAGUGACGGUAAUGGGUAAAGAAGCACCGGCUAACUACGUG
rnacentral:rRNA from 1 species